rnacentral:rRNA from 1 species
GCGAACGCUGGCGGCAGGCCUAACACAUGCAAGUCGAACGGCUCCUUCGGGGGCAGUGGCAGACGGGUGAGGAACGCGUGGGAACGUGCCCAUCGGUUCGGGAUAACCCGGGGAAACCCGGGCUAAUACCGGAUACGUGCGAGAGCAGAAAGAUUUAUCGCCGAUGGAUCGGCCCGCGUCUGAUUAGCUUGUUGGUGGGGUAACGGCCCACCAAGGCGACGAUCAGUAGCUGGUCUGAGAGGAUGAUCAGCCACACUGGGACUGAGACACGGCCCAGACUCCUACGGGAGGCAGCAGUGGGGAAUAUUGGACAAUGGGCGCAAGCCUGAUCCAGCCAUGCCGCGUGAGUGAUGAAGGCCUUAGGGU